rnacentral:rRNA from 1 species
GACGAACGCUGGCGGCGUGCUUAACACAUGCCAGUCGAACGGAAAGGCCCUGCUUUUGUGGGGUGCUCGAGUGGCGAACGGGUGAGUAACACGUGAGUAACCUGCCCUUGACUUUGGGAUAACUUCAGGAAACUGGGGCUAAUACCGGAUAGGAGCUCCUGCUGCAUGGUGGGGGUUGGAAAGUUUCGGCGGUUGGGGAUGGACUCGCGGCUUAUCAGCUUGUUGGUGGGGUAGUGGCUUACCAAGGCUUUGACGGGUAGCCGGCCUGCGAGGGUGACCGGCCACAUUGGGACUGAGAUAGGGCCCAGACUCCUACGGGAGGCAGCAGUGGGGAAUAUUGCACAAUGGGCGGAAGCCUGAUGCAGCAACGCCGCGUGCGGGAUGACGGCCUUCGGGUUGUAAACCGCUUUCGCCUGUGACGAAGCGUGAGUGACGGUAAUGGGUAAAGAAGCACCGGCUAACUACGUG